rnacentral:lncRNA from 1 species
UAUCCAAAUUCCCAAACUAACAUGGCCAUACUGGCUGGGAGUAAUAGUUGUGGAAACUAAGGUCCAAAACAUAACUUUUUCAAGUUUUGCAGGAAUGUAAACAAACAAACAAACAAACAACUGGUAAGGAAAUACCACAAAACAUUACAGUGUAUUCUCCUGUUGUUUGAUGUUGCACCCCUACUAAGCAAGAAGGGCUACAGGCUACACUGAUGACCUGCUCCCCCACCCCACUAACAGUAGCAAUUUCAGAAACAUUUUUCCAUGAGGCAGAGGAAAAAACAGCUGAAGCAAUUAGGUACUCAAUGAAUGUAAACUUAACUGAUUUUCUCUAACAGAUAUUGCAACAUAUGGAAUAUACCAAAUGGGAAAGAAGAGGAUUCAUUCUCUUCAUCGUAAAUAAAACUAGGAAGGGUGGAAGGAAGAACAAAGUGCCUCACACUUGCCCUCUGCCUCCAUUUCAGGGUCCAGUGAAAAGAGGAAAACUCCAUGGAACUGCCUUGAAUCUCUUCAGUGGGAGAACAGGACCAUCCAUCUGUUAG